rnacentral:rRNA from 1 species
UACGUAGGGUGCGAGCGUUGUCCGGAAUUAUUGGGCGUAAAGGGCUCGUAGGCGGUUUGUCGCGUCGGGAGUGAAAUCCACUGGCUUAACUGGUGGCUUGCUUUCGAUACGGGCAGACUGGAGGUAUGCAGGGGAGAACGGAAUUCCUGGUGUAGCGGUGAAAUGCGCAGAUAUCAGGAGGAACACCGGUGGCGAAGGCGGCUCGCUGGGACGGUACUGACGCUAAGGCGCGAAAGCGUGGGGAGCGAACAGG